UACGGAGGGUGCAAGCGUUAUCCGGAUUCACUGGGUUUAAAGGGUGCGUAGGCGGGCAGGUAAGUCCGUGGUGAAAUCUCUGAGCUUAACUCAGAAACUGCCAUGGAUACUAUUUGUCUUGAAUGUUGUGGAGGUAAGCGGAAUAUGUCAUGUAGCGGUGAAAUGCUUAGAUAUGACAUAGAACACCAAUUGCGAAGGCAGCUGGCUACACGAAUAUUGACACUGAUGCACGAAAGCGUGGGGAUCAAACAGG
rnacentral:rRNA from 1 species